CCUCCCUUCAGCCGCUGUCGCUUCAGGCGCCGCUGCUCCUGGAGGAGCUCCCGGCUCGAUGAUGGGGUCUCGGGCUUCUACGUUACUGCGGGACGAAGAGCUUGAGGAGAUCAAGAAGGAGACAGGCUUUUCCCACAGUCAAAUCACUCGCCUCUACAGCCGGUUCACCAGCCCGGACAAAGGAGAGAACGGGACUCUCAGCCGGGAAGAUUUCCAGAGGAUUCCAGAACUUGCCAUCAACCCACUGGGGGACCGAAUCAUCAAUGCCUUCUUUCCAGAGGGAGAGAACCAGGUAAACUUCCGUGGAUUCAUGAGAACUUUGGCUCAUUUCCGACCCAUUGAGGAUAAUGAAAAGAGCAAAAAUGUGAAUGGACCAGAACCACUCAACAGCCGAAGCAACAAACUGCACUUUGCUUUUCGACUAUAUGAUUUGGAUAAAGAUGACAGGAUAUCCCGUGAUGAGCUGUUACAGGUGUUACGCAUGAUGGUUGGAGUGAAUAUCUCAGAUGAACAGCUGGGCAGCAUCGCAGACAGGACCAUUCAGGAGGCUGAUCAGGAUGGGGACAGUGCCAUAUCUUUCACAGAAUUUGUUAAGGUUUUGGAGAAGGUGGACGUAGAGCAGAAAAUGAGCAUCCGAUUUCUUCACUAAGGGAUAGAAACCAAACUGUUCAUUACUUUCUAGUAUUUAAGAACUGGAACUUGAGAGUCCUCCCAUCCACCAGCCCCACCUCCACCCCGUUAUUCCCCUUCUCCCAGAGUACUACUGCUGUUGCAUGACA